GGGUUGUGAGGUUAAGCGAAUAAGCGUACACGGUGGAUGCCUAGGCAAUCAGAGGCGAUGAAGGACGUGCUAAUCUGCGAAAAGCGUCGGUAAGGUGAUAUGAACCGUUAUACCCGACGAUAUCCGAAUGGGGAAACCCAGUAUCCAAUGGAUACUAUCAUUAACUGAAUCCAUAGGUUAAUGAGGCGAACCGGGAGAACUGAAACAUCUCAGUACCCCGAGGAAAAGAAAUCAACCGAGAUUCCCCUAGUAGCGGCGAGCGAACGGGGAGCAGCCCAGAGUCUUAAUCAAUAGCAGUGUCAGGAGAACGGUCUGGAAAGUCCGGCAGUAAAGGGUGAUAGCCCCGUAUCUGAAGAUGCUGUUAUUGUGAACUCGACGAGUAGGGCGGGACACGUGUUAUCCUGUCUGAAUAUGGGGGGACCAUCCUCCAAGGCUAAAUACUCCUGAUUGACCGAUAGUGAACCAGUACCGUGAGGGAAAGGCGAAAAGAACCCCGGCGAGGGGAGUGAAAAAGAACCUGAAACCGUGUACGUACAAGCAGUAGGAGCCCCAUCACUCAAGUGCCUCGCACUGAGUGAUGCAAUAACAUCACCGAAAAUAGCGCCGAAUUUGCUAACAAGGUUGGUCGAUUUUUUCAAGCCGUCGCGCAGUGUACCUAGAAGUACACGAGCAACGGAAGUUAAAAAAUCGGGCAAGAUUGAACGCAAAGGCAAGCGGGACAUUUGAGGAUGGGGUGACUGCGUACCUUUUGUAUAAUGGGUCAGCGACUUAUAUUCUGUAGC
rnacentral:rRNA from 1 species